GAUGAACGCUGGCGGCGUGCCUAAUACAUGCAAGUCGAGCGAACGGACGAGAAGCUUGCUUCUCUGAUGUUAGCGGCGGACGGGUGAGUAACACGUGGAUAACCUACCUAUAAGACUGGGAUAACUUCGGGAAACCGGAGCUAAUACCGGAUAAUAUUUUGAACCGCAUGGUUCAAAAGUGAAAGACGGUCUUGCUGUCACUUAUAGAUGGAUCCGCGCUGCAUUAGCUAGUUGGUAAGGUAACGGCUUACCAAGGCAACGAUGCAUAGCCGACCUGAGAGGGUGAUCGGCCACACUGCAGCUGAGACACGGUCCCGACUCCUACGGGAGGCGGCAGUAGGGAAUCUUCCGCAAUGGGCGAAAGACUGACGGAGCAACGCCGCGUGAUGGAUGAAGGUCUUCGGAUCGUAAAACUCUGUUAUUAGGGAAGAACAUAUGUGUAAGUAACUGUGCACAUCUUGACGGUACCUAAUCAGAAAGCCACGGCUAACUACGUG
rnacentral:rRNA from 1 species